CUCAGCCUCAGGCUCCUUCUGACAGUUGGGGCUCAGGGUCUCAGCCCAACCGACUCCUGGUUGCCACGCCGGUUACCAUGGGUGCAGCCUGGGGACGCUGUCGUCUGUGGCCAUAGGGAGCUUUGAAAACUAAGCUGAUAAAUUUAAACAAGGUGGCGUUCAGAAGGAAGUCAUCAGGCAGCUUAAGCGAUGAAGUGACAUGAAAUACCUUCAGAGAGAGUGAGGGUGGAGCCUGUUGAGAACGCAUCCCAAGAGGCCAGACAGGAGACUGCUACCAAUAACCCAGACACAGGUGACGGGAUUGGAAUAAGAAAACAGUGACAACAGAUAUUCACCGACACCUUCCUGAUUUGAGGCUCUUUGCUGGGUACUAGGAAUAGAAGAUGAAUAAGGCUGGAUGAAUUAUCUUCAAGGAACUUGCAGUCUACUGAAGAAGACAGAGAUAGUACAGACGGGGUUGACCGCAUUAGCUAGGAUGGCCUCAAUCUCCUGACUUUGUGAUCCGCCCGCUUCGGCCUCCCAAAGUGCUGGGAUUACAGGUAUGAGCCACCAAGCCCGGCCACAGCUCUGCCUUCUUAGACCCUAUACUAAGCUGCCUGAAGAAGUCUGCAUGCAGGAAAAUGAUGCAUCUGAAAUAAUUUCAAAUAACAACAAGGUUUUGUAAACUACUUUCACUUUAGCCCCAAGACACUUUCCCAUGGUGGUGACUUCUUGUCAAUCCCCAAUAAGUAAAAAUCUCCAAAUGUUG
rnacentral:lncRNA from 10 species